AUGAACGCUGACAGGAUGCCUAACACAGGCAAGCAUCUUAACUUCGUUUGGUUGCCGACCGGGCGAGUAACGCGUAAAGAACUUGCCUCACAGAUAGGGCCAACAUUUGGAAACGAAUGCUAAUACCUGAUAUUAUGAUUUUAGGGCAUCCUAGGAUUAUGAAAGCUAUAUGCACUGUGAGAGAGCUUUGCGUCCCAUUAGCUAGUUGGAGAGGUAACGGCUCACCAAGGCGAUGAUGGGUAGCCGGCCUGAGAGGGUGAUCGGCCACAAGGGGACUGAGACACGGCCCUUACUCCUACGGGAGGCAGCAGUGGGGAAUAUUGGACAAUGGACCAAGAGUCUGAUCCAGCAAUUCUGUGUGCACGAUGAAGUUUUUCGGAAUGUAAAGUGCUUUCAGUUGGGAAGAAAAAAAUGACGGUACCAACAGAAGAAGUGACGGCUAAAUACGUGCCAGCAGCCGCGGUAAUACGUAUGUCACAAGCGUUAUCCGGAUUUAUUGGGCGUAAAGCGCGUCUAGGUGGUUAUGUAAGUCUGAUGUGAAAAUGCAGGGCUCAACUCUGUAUUGCGUUGGAAACUGUGUAACUAGAGUACUGGAGAGGUAAGCGGAACUACAAGUGUAGAGGUGAAAUUCGUAGAUAUUUGUAGGAAUGCCGAUGGGGAAGCCAGCUUACUGGACAGAUACUGACGCUGAAGCGCGAAAGCGUGGGUAGCAAACAGG
rnacentral:rRNA from 1 species